AUGUGCUCAGCUGAUUGUGCACCUGUCCUAAGCAUUUUGGAGACCCUUCACAUAGUGCUAAUCAGUACCUCUGUAUUACCAGAGACUCAGCGCAUGAAACGUACCUUCACUGCAAGUCCUGUUUGUAUGUAUGCUGCAGCCAAGACUGCUUGGAAUUUGGAAAAGUUGUUGGUCCUUUUCAAAUCAAAAGAAAGUUGCAUCUUUUUUAUGCAACCUAUAGGAUUUGGCUGUAUAAUACAGGAAAUACUUUAUUAUGUUUGUGCCCUAGGUUAUCUUGGCAGAGCUCAGUGUGGCCAGUGGAUUUUGGAUGCUCCUGAAGUCGUAAUAUCUAUGUACAGGCUGCGUGGUGUGAGGAAGCAGAGGGGACAGCAAGAGCUGGACUCGCAGCAGAAAAGGUGUGUGCUUGAAUAUAACAGCCAAGUCAAAGCAAGCAGACCUGAAACCACUAUCACCUGGCACAGUCAGCUUGAACUUAUUUGGGAGUCAGCAGCUGUAUGGUUAAUAUUAAAUAAAGACGUGAAGAGCUGUAAGUAAAUGAACACAGAAAGCCAAGUUAACUGCUUGCAUCUGAUUGGUAGCUGGUUUAUUUUUAAAAUAACUGCCUUAUUUUGUCUGAAUGUGCUUGUUACAUACCUACAUAGAAUGAUGUUUCCUUGUUAAGGUAUUAAAAAAAGUUCUAUGUGGCUUAUCCAGAGACUAUUCUGAACUAAGCAAAAAUGACAACAUUCUGAUUUUAAAACAAGCUCAGAAUUCUCUUGCUUAGAUGUUACAUGAUCCCAUUCCUUCCUGGUGUUCCUCAAAAUAUGAUUUUUUUCAAAUUUUUUUUUUUAUCUGAAAUACUUGUAAGCUAUCAUCAUGAACUUGUGCAACAGGAAUAAUUAUACCUUACUGCAUAAGAUCGUUUAUUAGCAUAAGGUUAAAUAAUUGCCAAUGAUCAUAACAUGCCUGUGUGUCUACUGGGACCCCACCUGUUAUGGUACUCCAGAACUGAAUGAAAGUAAGUGUUUUUGCACAUGAGAGGUGCUAAGAAUCUUUAUUUCAUUUAGGAAUAAACUUUUUUUUUUUUUUAAAUAAGAGAGCUUU
rnacentral:lncRNA from 1 species